rnacentral:misc_RNA from 1 species
AUACAAGGAACGUAAUGGAUGUACGGGAGCCAAGGACGCUAUAAACGGAGCUAAUGUAAAGGGAUGUUAGGACACUGGCCGGAGCGCCGGGCGAAUCGCCUUCAGGGUUUGAGGGGUGGCAAGGAUCGCGUAUUGCAGGAGGGAGAAACCGGGACGUUAUCUAAGUGCAGGGAGUGCGCUGUAAGGAUAUCCUUCCGCAGAAGGUGCGAAAAAAGGCGACAGGUUAACCUGCCGCCUUUUUUCUUUCUCUUCUU